GACGAACGCUGGCGGCGUGCCUAAUACAUGCAAGUUGAGCGCUGAAGGUUGGUACUUGUACCAACUGGAUGAGCAGCGAACGGGUGAGUAACGCGUGGGGAAUCUGCCUUUGAGCGGGGGACAACAUUUGGAAACGAAUGCUAAUACCGCAUAAAAACUUUAAACUCAAGUUUUAAGUUUGAAAGAUGCAAUUGCAUCACUCAAAGAUGAUCCCGCGUUGUAUUAGCUAGUUGGUGAGGUAAAGGCUCACCAAGGCGAUGAUACAUAGCCGGCCUGAGAGGGUGAUCGGCCACAUUGGGACUGAGACACGGCCCAAACUCCUACGGGAGGCAGCAGUAGGGAAUCUUCGGCAAUGGACGAAAGUCUGACCGAGCAACGCCGCGUGAGUGAAGAAGGUUUUCGGAUCGUAAAACUCUGUUGGUAGAGAAGAACGUUGGUGAGAGUGGAAAGCUCAUCAAGUGACGGUAACUACCCAGAAAGGGACGACUAACUACGUG
rnacentral:rRNA from 1 species